UUUUUUUUUUUUUUGCCCACAGAGCUGGAGCUGGGAAUCCAUUAGCCUUUAAUGAAGUGAAACCCUCAUCUUGCCGGAGCCACCUCAUUUAGCGCAAUUGUUUCGCAGCCAUUACGGAAAGACAAUUACAAGGAAGCGGCGAGAGUAAUUGGAAAUGCUGGCAGGAGUUGGGCGAAAUGAUAAUAAAUAAAAAUAUUCCCCCUAAUAAGCUUGCCAGGAGGGGGGUGGGCUGAAGAAAAUCAACAUAAUUAGAACUGAACCUCGGCGAGGAAAAACAGACAGCGGGGUGGCGAGCGCUCGGCAUGGAGGACUGGGGGGGAAAGUGGAGAAAACUUUGGUUUUUCACUCAAAAACCAGCAGGGAAAAGAUUUCCCCCACCUGUACGCAAAAAUAACGGUUGGAUGGGAGAUGCUUUCCACAGGGAUGCUUGUGGUGCUCCUCCAUCACUUGGUUCAGGCUGGAAUUAAAGCCAAAAAAAAUAAAGCUUAAAAGUGAAAUGGUUUUUUGCUCACAGGACGUCAUCAAGGAGCAUCAUUGGGUAACAGGAAUUUCUCCUCAUCAAAUGGGGAGGGAAAUACAAUUAUUUUUGCAAAACCUGUAUUAUUUACAUUACUUUUAAGACCAGAAAGCAUUAAGGAUGUGAAUUUGGGGUGGAAAUCAUACUCAAAACUCGACACAAGUAGCUCUUGGUGGGCUCCUUCUCAGCUCCUAAAAUCCUUUUUCUUUCCACCAAAUAAUCCCUGUGCCCUGCAAAACCAUCCACACACUGUUCUAAUUCUCAUCCCAACCCAAUGUUGCUUUAGCAGCUCCUCCAAAACAGUUUGUAGGAAAAAAAAAACCUUAAAAUUGGGGGUUUGCACCCAAAAAAGCCACUGAAGCACAGUUUGGUAAAAAAAAGGUCCUUCAAGGAGGGAAUUGUACCCCAAGAAGUCCUUAAAAUAAGGGCUUGCACCCAAAAAUGUACUUUUAGCAGUUUUCAGAAAAAAAAAAAAGAAAAAAUUCCUUCAAGCAGAGCUUUGCAGAAAUAAAGUCCUUCACAAAGGGGUUUGAAUUUAAGGUUGUCCAAAAGGGGUUUGUACCCCAAAAAAAUCCCUCAAAAAUGGGAAAAGCACCUUUAAAAUAGAGUGUUUGAAUCAAAACCAGUCCUUUCAAUGGGUGUCUGCAUUUAAAAAGUCUCUCAAACAGGGGCUUUGCACCAAAAAACACUUUAAAUAAGUGUUUAUAGACAAAAAGGACUUUCAGCCAGGCAUUUGCAGCUAAAAAAUGCCUCAGACCAGGUGGUUUUACACAAAAAUCUUCCCCAGGACUUCUCCCCUCUGCAAUAUCUGCUACAAAAUCCAGCUCCUGGCAGCAUUCCAAAGGGAUGGAGUAGAUCCCUCUCCAUCACAGCAAGGGUUUCCCCAAAUCUAGAAAAAAUCCUGCAAGGGGAAUUCUAUUUCUCUUUAGAAUUUCUGUUCUACUCGGAGUAGAACUGCUGGGGAAGGUGGGAAAUGCCAAUAAUGUUGGGAGCAAUCCCAAACCCCAAAUAGAAAAUACCCAACAAAAUAAUAAAAUGGGCCCCCAAAUUCAUAAAAUAUCCUCCCCUCCAAUGAUAAAAAUAUCCCAAAAUAUAAUAAAACGCCUCCAAAUAAAUUAAAAAAUUAAAAUUAAAACUUAAAAAUACCCCAAAUAAAUUAUAAAAUAGAAGAAAAAUAAAAUGCUUCCAAAAAAAAAAACAAAAUGCCCCCAAAAUAAUAAAACACUCAAAAGAAGUUACAAAAUACCCCCAAAAUAAUAAAAUGCUCAACAGAAGUUACAAAAUACCCCCAAAAUAAUAAAAUAUCCCAAAUAAAUAACAGAAUACCCUGAAAAUAAUAAAAUAGCCCAAGCAAACUAUAAAAUAACCCUAAUUAAAUAACAAAAAACCCAAAUAAACAACAAACUACAUCUCAAAAAAAAAUUACUCCCCCAAAUAAUAAAAUAUAUUGAAUAAUUAAUGAAAUAUCCCCCCAAAUGGUCAAACAGUCCAAAUCUGUGCCCCAGCCCUCUGGAGUGAAGGAGAUUUUCAUUUAAAAACCACACACGUUUUUUUCCUUGCCACUUCCCAACUCCGUUAAGAUCAUUAUCACAGAAUGGGAGCAGAGAUAAAACAUUUUUAUUUUCUUUUCUUUUCCUUCUGGUGGGAUUUUUUAGCAGAGCAUCCCCCAUUCCCAGCUCUCAUGGAAGUCACCUCAUGUUGGGAGUUAAUGUUUCGUUAAUACAUAGGUUUUUUUGUUAAUUUAUUUUACUUUAUUUUACUUUUCCAUAUUUCUCCUCAGCCACCAAUUAUUUUGCUCCCAAAGGGAUUAUUACAAUUCUCCCUGUGACUUUUUUAGUCUUGGUGCCUUCCAGAAGCCACAGGUGAUGCUCAUGCCACAAAAACGUGUUAUUAAAUAAUAUUAAAUUAUUCUAAAUUAUGUAAAAUUAUUUCACAUACAUUAAAUGCUAUUGAAUAGUAUAAAAUAUUAGUAGAUUUUAUUAAAUAUUGUGCAAAGCCAUGUGCACAAAUAUUUAGGAGCUGUGAAAUGCCUCCACCACUGAGCUGGGAUGCUCCAGUGGGCACCAGCAGCUGAGUCCUGCUGGGAAGACAGUGGGCAAAGCUCUGGAAAAUUGGGGGGAAAUUGAGCUAUUUUGGAGCUUUUUACCAAAAAAACAAUUCUGGUGGAGGAAAGGGAGAUUGGAGUGUGGUGAGAGUGUGUGGGAGGAAAGGGGAGAUGGAGAUGUGGAAUGAGUGUGCAAGGAGUGAGCAGGGAG
rnacentral:lncRNA from 1 species